rnacentral:lncRNA from 1 species
AUGAUGAAGCAGCGACUGGCCUGGGAGAUUCGUGCCCUGCAGAGCAGCAAGGAGCAGCUGCUCACCGAAGAGAGGCAGGCGCGGGCGAAGCUGGAGGAGGUUGAGCAGCGGCUGCGCUCGCCGCCCGAGGUCCCGGGCGCCUCGGCAGAGAAGGACGGGCUGAAGGCGGAGCUGGAGAAACUCGGGGGCAGGUCCCCGCCCAGGCCCAGAACACCCCAGAAGUCGGAGCCAGCAAAUGAAAGGCCCGCCCGGAAAUAAAGGCGACGUUUAACCGACUGCCCUGCACCUCUCCGGCUGAGUCUGUGCUCCGGGAACCAUCGGGGACCGUGUGGUUCCUUUCCGCUCUCCCAGGGAAGGGG